rnacentral:rRNA from 1 species
UACGAAGGGUGCAAGCGUUACUCGGAAUUACUGGGCGUAAAGCGUGCGUAGGUGGUUUGUUAAGUCUGUUGUGAAAGCCCCGGGCUCAACCUGGGAAUGGCAAUGGAUACUGGCAAGCUAGAGUGCGGUAGAGGAGAGUGGAAUUCCCGGUGUAGCAGUGAAAUGCGUAGAGAUCGGGAGGAACAUCAGUUGCGAAGGCGGCUCUCUGACCAGCACUGACACUGAGGCACGAAAGCGUGGGGAGCAAACAGGAUUAGAA